rnacentral:sRNA from 1 species
UAUCUCUCCGUACGGGGAAGGAUGAGAAGCUUCGACUAAGGUUCGAUUCGAGCGAAAGCGAGAAAGCGUUGCCGUAGGCAACGACCCGAAGGGCGA